rnacentral:rRNA from 1 species
CCGCAUGGCGCCCGGGCUAAAGCCCCGACGGGAGGGGAUGGCUCCGCGGCCCAUCAGGUAGACGGCGGGGUGACGGCCCACCGUGCCGACAACGGGUAGCCGGGUUGAGAGACCGACCGGCCAGAUUGGGACUGAGACACGGCCCAGACUCCUACGGGAGGCAGCAGUGGGGAAUCUUGCGCAAUGGGGGGAACCCUGACGCAGCGACGCCGCGUGCGGGACGGAGGCCUUCGGGUCGUAAACCGCUUUCAGCAGGGAAGAGUCAAGACUGUACCUGCAGAAGAAGCCCCGGCUAACUACGUGCCAGCAGCCGCGGUAAUACGUAGGGGGCGAGCGUUAUCCGGAUUCAUUGGGCGUAAAGCGCGCGUAGGCGGCCCGGCAGGCCGGGGGUCGAAGCGGGGGGCUCAACCCCCCGAAGCCCCCGGAACCUCCGCGGCUUGGGUCCGGUAGGGGAGGGUGGAACACCCGGUGUAGCGGUGGAAUGCGCAGAUAUCGGGUGGAACACCGGUGGCGAAGGCGGCCCUCUGGGCCGAGACCGACGCUGAGGCGCGAAAGCUGGGGGAGCGAACAGGAUUAGAUACCCUGGUAGUCCCAGCCGUAAACGA